CGGUCGCUCACGCUCCGUCGCUCAGCCGAGCUGCCCGCGCCGCCUUCCCGCUCUGCCGCACCACGCGUGCGCUGGGAGCGUCGCGCGGGCCGCGGGCCAGGCCCGCGAGCCUGCUCCUGUUCGCCGCGUGGCUGGCGGCCGUCGCCGCCGACCUCGCUUGCCAACAAGAACCUCCGGCGACGCACGUCGUUUGCUCCUCCUGUCGUUCCUACGAGAACGCUCGCGAGCACAGUUUACGAGUUAUUCGAGAGAGCUUGCUGGCCAAGCUAGGUUUCGCGCAAGCACCGAAUACGACUGGACGACAGUUACCGCGAGUGCCGGCAGAUCUCAUGGAGCGGUUCGAGAGAAAACCGCCUCCGGCGGGCGUGCAGGCCGAUGCGCCGGCUCUAUCGCGUACUUUUGUAACUCACACUGAGCAGGAUGACUUCCUCGCUCGCACCGACAAUGUUCUCGUAUUUGCCCGUUAGUAUAAUUUUUAAGUUGACAUUUUAUUUCGUUGCAAAAUUUUGUUACAUAGUCAAGUUCGAUGCCCCGUAAAUGUUACUGUCACACGUAUUACUCUACAUGCUGCCAAUUCUAAUGAGUGUCUAUUUAAUUUUAAAUAAUUCUAAAGUUAGCUUUGAACAAUGCUUAGGUUUUAUUGAAAAAAACUGAGAACUUCGCAUUGUUUCUUUUGUGACAUCAACGUCAUUUAACCCCUAUCAAUUCUUGACAAACAAUAACUUUUUCAUUUGGAUUUAUCGGCUGAUAUGUUCAGUUAGGAGGUAUUGUAAACUACACGUGCGAACGGCUAUUCGCUUAACAUGGUUUACAAAGUUCAUUGACAGGCACGUGUGCAGCUUAUAAGUGGGUAACCGUAAUUGUAAAAGUGAUAAGAUAAAAAUUAUAUAUAAAGUACAAACAAAUUGUUGCAUUAGUUCAAUAAUAAUUGCUACGACAAGAAAUUGAUUAUAUAGAGUUCACCAGAUUUUCGAUAUGAAGUUUAGACGGUACAGUGGUGUUAACGUGUAGGCGUUACGUGACGACUCUCUGUCUGCUAGUCUGUGACCGCCAAGGAACACUGCCCUCGACUCGUAAUCGACUUGCAAACGUACCGCCUCCAUUAUACUGGGUGACACAAUUUCUGAGACAUUACCUAAUAGUCUACGUGUGCUAUCUCAAUUUUUGUCAUACCUAUAUUUUAAUAAUAACAAACAAUUUUCUUAAUAAAAACGAUUUUUAUUUAAUUAAGAGGAUUAGGCCUAUUGGGGAUACCUCUAUAAAAAAAGCGCAUCACUGGUUCUUACCUCAAAGGUGGUGUGGAAAUAGAACCGUAUUGAAUGCUGUAAGUACUAACUUCAUUUAUAAUGUUUAAAAUACAUAUUAAAUUAACAGUAAAUAUCUAUUGAAGAGAGCGUAACAAUAAUUUGUUCUAAAAAUUUGGGGAAGUUGCAGCGUAGGGGCGAAGUAACAAGAAUAUAAUACUGACUUAUUAAGACAAGUGACAUUAAUAAUAAUUUAUCUUGGGAAUUUAUAGAAUAUUAAUAAUAAUUUAUAAAAAUCUGCAAGAUACUUGUAAAUAAACAUUUAAAUAUACCUUGGUAUAUUACUUACAAGUCUUAACAAUAAAAAAAUAAAGUCAAUCGUAACAAAAUAAUUUAUUUGUCUGCAAGGGAUAUUAACACUAUUAAUAUGACUUGCAACAAUUUCUAACAUUAGGCAUUUAGGUUAUCGCAAUUUUGAAUCCCUGCAUGUCAGUAUUUGAUAUAAAUAGGAAUAACUAUAACUACGUGAAUUCUGAUUACAGGUUUGAAAAAAUAAUAAAAUGUAAAUACAAAAAUACAUUUAUAACUUAGAUUUAUAUAACGUUUAUUUCACUCUUUUUGAAUAGUUUGUUCAAUGAAUAUUUCUCCUGGAUACUAAAUUAUUAAAUGCGCACAGUUUAUCAAAUUACUUAUCAUUAAAGCGAGGACAUGCCAAUGUAGCGCAUAUUAAUAGAUCUUGAUAUUUUUUUGCUUGUGCGUAUGAAGGAAUCGUUAUAAAGACAGUAAUCGCAACAUUUUUAUUUUUAUCAGCCUGACAUACUUAGGAAUAAAAGAGUUUCGUACUUUUGGGAUAAAUUUUAAGCAUUUAUGAAAAAUAAAAAUCAAAGUAUAAGUUAGAUCAGGUUCGAUUUUACUAUAUUUUAGCAACACAUUUUUUUAUACAAAAAUUUUUGAUUGUGUUGAAAAAAAAUUUUUUUCAAAUAUAUUAUUGUUUAUUGAGUAAAUAAUACUUCUCUCUACAGAAAAAGAACUGUAUAUAUAAUAGCAACCCGUCCCGGCUUUGCACGGUUGCAAUGCUGAUACUAAAUAAGUAUAAAAUAUAAAAUAAAUAUUUGCAAUGUAAGCGCAAAAAAUAACUUUAUUUACGACAUCACAUUACAUGUUUUUACAUUUUGCAUGUAUUUUACAUACAAACCUUACUCACUCUAUUUACUAAAGAAAUCUGCAUCAAAAUCCAUUGCGUAGUUUUUAAAAUCUAAGCAUACAGACAGUGGGG
rnacentral:misc_RNA from 1 species